UUGGAUAACCGUGGUAAUUCUAGAGCUAAUACAUGCUGGAAACCCCAACUUCGGGAGGGGUGUAUUUAUUAGAUAAAAAACCAACGCCCUUCGGGGCUUCUUGGUGAUUCAUGAUAACUUUACGGAUCGCAUGGCCUUGCGCCGGCGACGGUUCAUUCAAAUUUCUGCCCUAUCAACUUUCGAUGGUAAGGUAUUGGCUUACCAUGGUUUCAACGGGUAACGGGGAAUUAGGGUUCGAUUCCGGAGAGGGAGCCUGAGAAACGGCUACCACAUCCAAGGAAGGCAGCAGGCGCGCAAAUUACCCAAUCCCGACACGGGGAGGUAGUGACAAUAAAUACUGAUACAGGGCUCUUUUGGGUCUUGUAAUUGGAAUGAGUACAAUUUAAACCUCUUAACGAGGAACAAUUGGAGGGCAAGUCUGGUGCCAGCAGCCGCGGUAAUUCCAGCUCCAAUAGCGUAUAUUAAAGUUGUUGCAGUUAAAAAGCUCGUAGUUGAAACUUGGGUCUGGCUGGCAGGUCCGCCUCACCGCGUGUACUUGUCCGGCCGGGCCUUCCUUCUGGAGAACCUCAUGCCCUUCACUGGGCGUGUUGGGGACCAGGACUUUUACUUUGAAAAAAUUAGAGUGUUCAAAGCAGGCCUUUGCUCGAAUACGUUAGCAUGGAAUAAUAGAAUAGGACGUGCGGUCCUAUUUUGUUGGUUUCUAGGACCGCCGUAAUGAUUAAUAGGGACAGUCGGGGGCAUCAGUAUUC
rnacentral:rRNA from 1 species